UUUCUGCUUCCAAAAAAGCUAAUGAAGAUGAAGGCCGUAAUACUAUGCUUGCUUGUUUUGACUGUAAUGUCUGCUUCAGCUUUCAAGCGACAGCUCUAUGACCAGCAUCUGCAACACAAUCAGCAACAACAACGUGGACCAUUGAAUGAUGACCAUACGACGCCCGUACGUAUUCAAACUAUUGAAAG